rnacentral:lncRNA from 1 species
CUCCAGCCUGAAGCCCCUCUGGCCCAGGGAGUGACUGCAAAGUCAGCAGCACAUGGGCCAGGGCUGGCCAGCCUCUCAGCUCCACGCACCCAGACAGAAGCAUCCACAUCUGCACUCUUCAUAGCAGAGACCUCUCCCUGUUCAGGUUCUGCAUACAGAAGAGACGCCCAGAAAUAGAAGUUACAAACAUACUUUGAAAACAUUGGGAACUUGGUUCCAGACCACCACAAUAAAUUUCUAAGGAUCAGGAAUUUGGAGUAACCAACUGAAUGGUUCUGGUUCAAAGUCUCUCAAGAGGUUACUAUCAAGCUGCUGGCCCAGG